rnacentral:lncRNA from 1 species
AGCGGUCUCAGAGCUUCAGGUUCUGCCCUGUCCUGCCCGGGUCGGGGGUCUCCGGGGGUCUCGGGGGGGCUCCGGGGGUCUUUGGAGCUGCAGGUGCUGCCUCGACCGUGCUCGGGCCGGGGGUCCCGGGGGUCUCCAGGGAUCCCGGGGGUCUCGGGAGUCUUGGGGGGUCUUGGAGCUUCAGGUUCUGCCCUGUCCGUGCCCAGGUCGGGGGUCCCGGGGGGUCUCGGGGGGGUUCCGGGAGUCUCUGGAGCUGCAGGUGCUGCCUCGUCCAUGCCCGGGCCGGGGGUCCCGGGGGUCUCCGGGGGUCCCGGGGGUCUCGGGAGUCUUGGGGGGUCUUGGAGCUUCAGGUUCUGCCCCGACCGUGCCCGGGCCGGGGGUCCCGGGGGUCUCGGGGGUCCCGGGGGGCUCCGGGGGUCUCUGGAGCUGCAGGUGCUGCCCCGACCGUGCCCGGGCCGGGGUUCCCGGGGGUCCCGGGGGUCUCAGAGCUGUGCUGUGCCCGCAGGUGAAGGACGAGGGUGGGCAAGCUCUGGGCAGUCUCAGCUUGCCCCUGGCGGAGCUGCUGGCCCGGGAGGGGCUGGCCAUGGACGGCUGGGUCCCGCUGGCCGGGGGCGCUCAGCUCCUGCUGCGGGCGCAGCUCGGGGUGCUGGUGUCGCAGCGGGUGGAGGCGAGCGCUGCCAGCAGAGCCCCCGAGGGGGGGGACACGGAGCCGCGACAGGAGGAGGAGGAGGAGGAGGAGGAGGGUGAAGAUGAGCGCGGGGUGGGGGGGCUGCGCCAGCGCCUGCCCCCGGCGGACAGGUGGGGACAAAUCCCACCCUCCCCGGACAUCCCAACCC